CCCACUGUGAGAAACUGCACGCGCCCCAGUUACAUGUCCGCGCCUUGCCGUGACGAGGCUCGCGCUGUGAUGAGAGGGGAUGUAAUGGAUUUAUAGCGCCGGAGGAUUCCUGUGGGUCCGCAGCCUCAGUCGGGUUCGCCAACUAGUAACUUCUGUAAUAAACUGCCAUAGUGAUGGUGCUGCAGCAGAAGGAGAAAGAUCUUGGUGACCAUCUGAAACCAAUUAUGGCGGCUCUGCAGCCACCCAGAAACUCUGUGACGGAUGGGGAUCUUUGUAUUUAUAGCUGGGAUGCAGGUGCUUUGAGGGGCAUUGCAGAGGAAUUGCAGCUUGGAUUCAUCUACCCUCUUUCACACCUCCUCCUUGUGCCUGCAGAAGGAAAUACAGGAGCAGCAGUCAUAUUUUCUCCAUCAAUCUAUUCAUCCAUAUUGUAUGCCCACUUAGCUCUUGGAGGGUUGAGGUGGUGGUGGAAUCUGGCGACUAAUGUGCAGAGUCAAAUAGAUCAGCAAAUGUUAUUUUGAAUAUAUAUAAUGUGAGGUUUCCAGUUGAGUUAAUCAUCAAUAAUGACACCAAUAAAUUGAUUUGCAUACUCUCUUUCAACAUUCCCCCCAUUUAUCUGUAGACUGAGUUCCCAAUUAACCACAUUUUUAGUUAGCUUAUUUCUUUAGUUACAUAAUUCAGUAAAUUUUCUAUAUCAUAUCCAUUGCAGAAAAUGCUUGUGUCAUUGGCAAAAAAUACCAGUUUCAUUACUUCUGAUUUAAUGUAAGUCAUUCACAUGCAAUAUAAAGAACUUGGGACCCAGCAACAGCCCCUGAGGAACCCCACAAGCAAUGUCCAAAUAUUUUGAACACAGCUCUCAACACUAUAUAUGGUUGUCUGUUUGUCAAUUAACUUUUAAACCAUUGCAGAACAUCCCCCCAAUAUAAUACAGUUCUAGGUUUUGUUUUAUCCAUAAAUCAUGAUUCAUUGUAUCAAAAGCUUUUUUAAUGUCAACAAACAUUCCAAUAGCAAGUUUUUUUUUUCUUUAUUGUCAAUAGCGGUUAUUUGUUCAAUGGCUUCUAGUAUUGCCAGUGCUGUUGACUGUCUUAAAUCUAAAACCGAAAUGAUUUUCGCUGAAAAAAUAGUUUUUCUAAAAAAAGAUUCUAAACCUUUAUCAAAGUUUUUCUUUGUGGCAAUAGAAAAAAACGGUCUGUAAUUGGUUCAUUGGAGUUUAUCUCCUACAGGGGUAUUGUCUUUUUCACAUUAUCCAGAAAUAAAAGAGUUUAAACAAGAAAUUACAGAUGUGCGUUAUACAUUUUGAAAUUUCCUCACUUACAAGUUCAAUCAGAGACAUAUUCAUGCUAUGUAAUGCAAUGUGUUCAGUCUUAUGUGUUUAAGCUAGAGUUUACUCAGAUGAUCCAGUAGCUAUGAUGGAUUCUGUCAUGAAUGGCAGAGCUGAAGCAACCGAUGAUGAUGCCGAACUCCUUCACAACUUGAUCAGUUCAUAUUACUUCUGUUUUAAUGACUUUUCAUUGGUUACAAGUUCACUUUAGAAUUCAUUAUAAAAGUCUGACUUCAACCUUUAGGGUCAUGCGUGGUUAAAUUUCCUCCUAUAUUACCGAAUUGUUUAACCCACAUAGUCCAACUCAAGCCUUCAGGUCCUCAAACCAAAAUCAACUCGUUGGCCGAAGAAUCAGGUAUAUAGCUCAAGGGAUCGCUCUUUCCAGGCUGUUGCAACACCACUGUGGAAUGAGCUUCCUUUGUUUUUACUAUAUUUUAAGAAUCUGGACUAAUUUAAAAAGCAGCUGAAGACAUGUUUUUUCAAAUGUACUUUCCCUUUUUAGAUGUAUUUUAAGUAUUAUUGUAAUCAUUUGUUUUAAUCAUUUGUAAUAAUCCAUUAUUUGUUUAUCCUUUUAAUCAUGUUUUAAUUUUCUUGCUUUGCCUUUGUUAAAAACUUUAGGAUUGUAUCUUUGAAAAGCUGCUAUAUUAAAACAAAGUUGACUUAUUUUCUUCUAAUGCCUUAUAUAAUCUCACCAGCUCUGACACUUAUAUUUGAAAAUGCUAAUAUUUCUAUUUGCUAUUUAAUAAUAGAAAAUGCUACAUAAUGCAUGUCCAUAAUCUGUCAUAAGUCAAAAGUCUGCCAUAGGGUUUACUAAUACCAGCAGAGCAUCUAAAGUCUUGUGCAUCUUGUGAUGUCAUCGACCCAAAUACAAGUCAAGGAUUUUUUUUUCUUUUCUUCUGAGUUUUUUCUUCAAGGUUUUUAGAAAAACUUUGUAUUUUUCUGAAAUCUUGCUUUGGAAGUCAAUACUUCAUUAACCAGCUGUGUUUUUAUUGUUCACAUACAUUUGUUUGUGGAAAGAAUACAUACCUGGAUGCUAUAUUUCAGUUCACUAUCAAAUGUUAUGAAUUUUCAUCUUUAAAGAAAAACUACUAACUAUAUCCCCAGUGGAAAAAAAUAUCAGCACAAAAAUACAUGUGUACUAUAAUAGUCCAGUUUUGUUAUUAUUUAACUCAGGAAAGCUUCAUAGAUUGACAGUCGAAAGUUAAAUAUGAACAAGACCCAUUUAAAAUAAACAAUUUAUCUCAAG